rnacentral:rRNA from 1 species
UACAUGUGGGGCAAGCGUUGUUCGGGAUUACUGGGCGUAAAGCGCACGUAGGCGGCUUUCUAAGUCGGGGGUGAAAUCCUGGAGCUCAACUCCAGAACUGCCUUCGAUACUGGAGAGCUUGAGUCCGGGAGAGGUGAGUGGAACUGCGAGUGUAGAGGUGAAAUUCGUAGAUAUUCGCAAGAACACCAGUGGCGAAGGCGGCUCACUGGCCCGGUACUGACGCUGAGGUGCGAAAGCGUGGGGAGCAAACAGG